rnacentral:misc_RNA from 1 species
GGAGAAUAAAACUUUAAUAAUAAAAGAAACCUCAUGUCUAUAUUUAAUAACAUAGAUAUGAAAAAAUAAAUUUAAAUUUAUUAUAAAUUAAAGUAAAUUUAAAACUUUAUUAAAAAAUAAAUAAUUUUACUAGUGCUUAUAUAUAUAAAAUCAUUCCAUUAAUAUUUUAAUUCUUAAAUUAGCUUUUUUUCUAGUUGUCCUGCAUUAUCAUUAUUACCUUGGCAAUGUGGACAUCUUACCUAACUCUUUUGAUUAAUGGUCCCACAAGAAA